CAAUCGGCCCUUUUCAGGGCCAACAAAUGUGUACUAACCAUCGCCU
rfam:Aedes aegypti strain Liverpool supercont1.40 genomic scaffold, whole genome shotgun sequence.